rnacentral:snoRNA from 1 species
GGCAAAUGAUGUUUGUUCUCACGAUGGUCUUCGGAUGCCCUCGGGUACUUGCCGACAAAGCCACAUGGCUCAGCUGAUGCCAGAAG